rnacentral:tRNA from 1 species
ACCGCGAUAGCUCGGGUGGAGGAGCAUCUGCCAGGUAAGCGGAGGGUCACCGGUUCGGUUCCGGCUCGCGGCU